GCUCGGAGGCCGUCGCUGAGGAGCGGUGGGACGCGGCGCGCGGGGCUCGCGCGAGCAGGACGCGGGUGGGCGCGGGCGGGUGCGCCGCCCCCUCUGCCCGGGGCCGCUCGCUCGCCGCCGGAACGCCUGCUGUGCGCUGCCCGCUGCUGCGGCGGCGUUACGGCGCACCUGCGUGUGUUGCGGGAGCUGUCCCGGCGACGUGCCGGAGUGACGCUUCCAAAGGAAAUAUCUUCUUUGUAGCUAAAGGGGGAAGCCAGAAAGUCGUGGAGGAGGCGGUGACGGAGAGGAGCGCUGCUGCGAUAGCGCGGGUUACGCACGCAGCUGCUGCGUUAAGACUUAGCAGGAGGAGAUCCUGUGGUGUCCCCCGCAGGGCUUGCGUGCUCGCGCUGCUCCUUGCCUGGCUUGCCAGGCCUGCUUAAUUUCACGGGCUCGCUAAGGUUGGAAGAGACCUCCCAGAUCCCUUCCAGAAUUGCUGGAUGAUCGGGGUUUCCCCUCUGAGCCCGUGGUGGAAUCACCACCAGCCGCUUACUGCAAGUAGCAUCAGAAGCACGUCGUGUGGAGGGGACCUUUCCUUUAAACGUCCACUUUGAACUGGUAGUCAGGGUGCUAAAAGGAGCUGCGCUUCAGUGCUGAUCGUUUACGAAGCAGCUCCUCAAACUCCCUCAUGUGCUCUUAAGCCAGGCCCCAAAUAAUCGGUGCCUCCGUAGGUAGGCCUGCUGGGGCCGCAAGCUUCCUCUCCUCAAUAGCUGCCUGAGCUUUCAGGGUUCUGCGGGAGUUUGGGAGGGGAGUUCCGUGACACCGGGAGCGUCCACUUCUCUAAGUUUUCUCCUGAGUUCCUCCACACCCUCUGCCUCUCAACGUUACGCAGCUUUGGGGAAGAUCCCCGACCGAUACUGAUAGUGAAAAGCACGUUCUGAAGACGUGGCAAUGUGAACAACGGGAUUCUGUUGGUUUGAACGUUCCAGAAACUUUGAGGGGGAGAAAAGGAGAAGGGUGGGAGGAGGGAACCCGUGAAAACAUCUCUCUGCCCAUUGACAGAUUCCCUGGGAAGAAGCAGUGGAGGGAAUGAAAGCAUUAGCACCCUCGGGACUUUGAAGUAACUUCUGAGGCUCAAACUGUGCCGCGUUGUAUACGAACACCAGACGGGUGUCCCAGCUGUGCUUUUAGGGCUCUCGUAUAU